AGCACAACGAAAGCAUCCGGAUUCCAUCCGGGUUUAACUCGGAAACGGACAAAAUCUGAAAGCGCAAUUCAUGUUAUUUCAUACUGUUCAUCUAGUAGAAGGCUAAUUAUCGCAAAACAUCUGAAAUAUCAACCAGUGAUAUGGAUAACUCGAUAGGAAAACUUUUGUGUAAGAGAUCCAUGUAUGUACGUUAACAGAUCACAUCAUGUGCACUUACAUCGUCUACGUCAGCACAUGAAUUUAUUAGUAAAUGUAUACUUAAUAGAAUCAAUUAACUAGUACAUUAAUCGACAAUUUUACAAAGUCUACAUCAUGCGUAAUUCUAUGACUUUCGAUAGUCGUGAAGAUUAGGAACAAGCGAAGGAAUAUUGAGAGAAAUGAAUGCGUGAUAUUUUCAUUGCGUUGCACUUCAUUGAAUAUAAGAACCUUUUUUUUUCACGUAAAAUAUCAUAAAAACUUAGAAAGGACAAGUUAUCAUUUACAUAAUCUGGAUAUUUUAUUUUCUCGUUAGGUGACAGUUACAUCUUUUAAGUUUUAAUUAAAAGGACUGAAGUUAUAGUACUGGAACGAGAAACCAAGAAAAGAGCCAUAUAAAAAUGGGACAGUCAAAAGCGAUAUUCCUAUUUAUUGCUUUAUCAACAUUUCAAAUUAACUACGGACAAAAUUGUAAAAUUGACCGAAAAGAAAUCAAUGAUACAGUUGAAGGAAAACAGUUGACGCCCUUUUAUAAAACGUUUUUUUCUCUUGGACCACAAGCCUGUUUUAACGAGUGUAUCCGGAGAGCAGACUGUGCGUUUUUCAACUUCAAACGGGAGUCGCGUUUGUGUGAACUUUGUAACAAUACAAAGGGAUCAUCUGAACAAGAUGCCACGGGCUACUUCUAUAAGGAUGUAACAAGAGAGAGAGGCGGGCAAAACGAUCCAUGCGCAGGAACUUCCUGCUCCAACGGUGAAAUAUGUAUUGUUCUAUACAACAAGAGGACAGUUUGUAUAGUAGACGGUUGACAGUCGUCGGCAGAGAGGAUUCUUGUAAGAUUUGCUGGUACAGAACACCUAAGGGAGUUAACUCUUAAAAAUCAGCUGAACGUUUUAAUCACAUACUAUUAUUGAAGAGAAAUCAAUCUUCUCAUUGAUCAAAAUUAGUUUUUGUCAAACUGCUAUAUAUCCAAUGAAAUUAUUACUGUAAAUUGUGUGGUUUAAAUUUCUUGAAAUUUUUAUAUUUUUGUCAGCAGUCCAAAGCUAGUAUUUUGUCAAAAGUUAAAGAAAAUUAAACGAGCCAAAUUUAUCUUAGUCAAAGUGUUGGUACCUCCUUAAUACGAUAAACACGAUGAAAGGGCGACUGUACUUAUCUAUUUGAUUAUACAUUUUUUUUAAUGUAAGUGUAAUACUUUGUAAUAAUACCUUAUAACAUGGGAACUAUUAUAUUAAAAGUUUAGUAUGAAUAAAAUUGAAUAUAAAACA